rnacentral:tRNA from 1 species
CAGGAAGUAGUUUAAGACAGAAUAUCAGCUUUGGGUGUUGAUGGCGGGGCGUAGGGCCUUCUUCCUGA